GGGGAAUAUUGGGCAAUGGGCGCAAGCCUGACCCAGCAACGCCGCGUGAAGGAAGAAGGCUUUCGGGUUGUAAACUUCUUUUGUCAGGGACGAGUAGAAGACGGUACCUGACGAAUAAGCCACGGCUAACUACGUGCCAGCAGCCGCGGUAAUACGUAGGUGGCGAGCGUUGUCCGGAUUUACUGGGUGUAAAGGGCGUGUAGCCGGGAGGGCAAGUCAGAUGUGAAAUCCACGGGCUCAACUCGUGAACUGCAUUUGAAACUACUCUUCUUGAGUAUCGGAGAGGCAAUCGGAAUUCCUAGUGUAGCGGUGAAAUGCGUAGAUAUUAGGAGGAACACCAGUGGCGAAGGCGGAUUGCUGGACGACAACUGACGGUGAGGCGCGAAAGCGUGGGGAGCAAACAGGAUUAGAUACCCUGGUAGUCCACGCUGUAAACGAUGAAUACUAGGUGUGCGGGGACUGACCCCCUGCGUGCCGCAGCUAACGCAAUAAGUAUUCCACCUGGGGAGUACGAUCGCAAGGUUGAAACUCAAAGGAAUUGACGGGGGCCCGCACAAGCGGUGGAUUAUGUGGUUUAAUUCGAAGCAACGCGAAGAACCUUACCAGGGCUUGACAUCCUACUAACGAGAUAGAGAUAUGUUAGGUGCCCUUCGGGGAAAGUAGAGACAGGUGGUGCAUGGUUGUCGUCAGCUCGUGUCGUGAGAUGUUGGGUUAAGUCCCGCAACGAGCGCAACCCCUAUUGUUAGUUGCUACGCAAGAGCACUCUAGCGAGACUGCCGUUGACAAAACGGAGGAAGGUGGGGACGACGUCAAAUCAUCAUGCCCCUUAUGUCCUGGGCUACACACGUAAUACAAUGGCGGUCAACAGAGGGAUGCAAAACCGUGAGGUGGAGCGAACCCCUAAAAGCCGUCCCAGUUCAGAUCGUGGGCUGCAACCCGCCCACGUGAAGUCGGAAUCGCUAGUAAUCGCGGAUCAGCAUGCCGCGGUGAAUACGUUCCCG
rnacentral:rRNA from 1 species